rnacentral:tRNA from 1 species
GGAGAUGUGGCUCUGUUGGAAGAGUGCUUGUCUAGCAUACAGGAGGUCCUGGGUUCAGUCCCUAGCACCA